rnacentral:snRNA from 1 species
AUACUUACCUGGCAGGGGAGACACCAUGAUCAUGCAGGUGGUUUUCCCAGGGCGAGGCUCAUCCCCUGCACUCCGGGUGUGCUGACCCCUGCGAUUUCCCCAACCAAACAUUUUAUUAUGUCAAAGAUAAAAAUAAAUUCUACUGCUUUUC